GCUGGAAAACCUCAAAUGAGACCAGAUGCCCGGUGAGAGAACCAGGAGUCUAUAGGCAAACGCUGAACAGAUACAGAGCCUCACAGAAAAAAGCAGCUGAAUGCUCCAUUUCCAAAAGGGAACGGAAGAGUCACCCAGUCCCCUUUGGGGGCCAGUUGCCCUCAUUCCCACACUAAGCCCUGCUACGUACCCAGAUCUCCUGCACCGGGUUUCUGUGGCUGUAUUGUUCUGUGUGUGACUUAACCCCACAGCUUCUGAGCUAAGGUAGACUUCACUACUGUGCGCCCCAGAGCAAUCCCACGGGGUCUGUUCUAGCUGGGAAGAGCAAAGUUAUCCCCACAUUCACUGGGAGAAAUAGCCAGCCAGAAAAAUAAUAAAGAGUGCUUGUUCUCA
rnacentral:lncRNA from 1 species